rnacentral:rRNA from 1 species
GUGUCAGCAGCCGCGGUAAUACGUAGGGGGCAAGCGUUGUCCGGAAUCAUUGGGCGUAAAGAGCUCGUAGGCGGCUUAGUAAGUCGGUCGUGAAAGCCCGAGGCUCAACUUCGGGACUGCGGUCGAUACUGCUAUAGCUAGAGUUUGGUAGAGGAGAACGGAAUUCCCGGUGUAGCGGUGGAAUGCGCAGAUAUCGGGAGGAACACCUGUAGCGAAGGCGGUUCUCUGGGCCAAUACUGACGCUGAGGAGCGAAAGCGUGGGGAGCAAACAGGAUUAGAAACCCUGGUAGUCC